rnacentral:rRNA from 2 species
UGGGGAAUAUUGGGCAAUGGGCGCAAGCCUGACCCAGCAACGCCGCGUGAAGGAUGAAGGCUUUCGGGUUGUAAACUUCUUUGGCCAGGGACGAUAAUGACGGUACCUGGAGAACAAGCCACGGCUAACUACGUGCCAGCAGCCGCGGUAAUACGUAGGUGGCAAGCGUUAUCCGGAUUUACUGGGUGUAAAGGGCGUGUAGGCGGGUUGGCAAGUCGGGUGUGAAAUUCAUAGGCUUAACCUAUGACGGUCAUCCGAAACUGCCGAUCUUGAGUGCAGGAGAGGAGAGUGGAAUUCCUAGUGUAGCGGUGAAAUGCGUAGAUAUUAGGAGGAACACCAGUAGCGAAGGCGGCUCUCUGGACUGUAACUGACGCUGAGGCACGAAAGCGUGGGGAGCAAACAGG